rnacentral:tRNA from 1 species
GAUAAGGUGGCUGAAUUUAGGUUAUAAAUUGUAAAUUUAUAUAUGGGUUUUUACUCUCUUGUCA